CAGUCGUACCGGCGGGUAAUCAGCCUUUCGGGUAUGAUUCUGUGGAGCGUGAGGAGUUAAACGCCUUCAUGCCUGCAUAUUCGUGUACUUUGGGUGUACUUGCCUGUGUGGUUAGUUAACAUCAAUUUUGGUUAUCAUAAAAUGGCUGGAGGAAUGUAGCUUCGAUCUCGUAUUGAAGUGUUAUAGUCUUCGGCAGAUGUGAUGAUCGGGAUUGAGGAUUGCAACGGAUACCCGUUCGGGGCCUACCCGUCUGAUCUCUGAUCGUUGCUC
rnacentral:rRNA from 1 species